GACGAACGCUGGCGGCGUGCUUAACACAUGCGAGUCGAACGGAAAGGCCCUGCUUUUGUGGGGUGCUCGAGUGGCGAACGGGUGAGUAACACGUGAGUAACCUGCCCUUGACUUUGGGAUAACUUCAGGAAACUGGGGCUAAUACCGGAUAGGAGCUCCUGCUGCAUGGUGGGGGUUGGAAAGUUUCGGCGGUUGGGGAUGGACUCGCGGCUUAUCAGCUUCUUGGUGGGGUAGUGGCUUACCAAGGCUUUGACGGGUAGCCGGCCUGAGAGGGUGACCGGCCACAUUGGGACUGAGAUACGGCCCAGACUCCUACGGGAGGCAGCAGUGGGGAAUAUUGCACAAUGGGCGGAAGCCUGAUGCAGCAACGCCGCGUGCGGGAUGACGGCCUUCGGGUUGUAAACCGCUUUCGCCUGUGACGAAGCGUGAGUGACGGUAAUGGGUAAAGAAGCACCGGCUAACUACGUA
rnacentral:rRNA from 1 species